rnacentral:lncRNA from 1 species
AAGGAGGGGAUUUUUUUUUUUUUUUUGAGAAUCCAGAGCUUUUAUUGUCUGCCUUCCUGUUCUCAGCUGAACCCCUAGCCCCAGAGCCCCCAGCAGGGCCGGCUCUAAGGUGGAUCGCGCUGUCAAGAUGAGACCAACCACCUAAGGAAGGAGCUAGAGAGUGUGGGAAGACAGCUCCAGGCUGAGGUGGAAAACAAUCAGAUGUUGAGUCUCCUGAACAGGAGACAGGAGGAGAGGCUACGUGAACAGGAGGAGAGGCUACGUGAACAGGAGGAGAGGCUACGUGAACAGGAGGAGAGGCUACGUGAACAGGAGGAGAGGCUGUGUGAACAGGAAAAGCUGCCAGGGCAGUAGAGGCUGCUGGAAGAGGUGGAGACGCUGUUAGAACAGGAGAGGCAGUAGGAGGAGCAGGAGAGGCUGCUGGAGAGGGAGAGGCUGCUGGACGAGGUGGAGGAGCUCCUGGAGCAGGAGAGGCUUCGGCAAGAGCAUGAGAGGCUGUGGCAGCAGGAGACUCUGCGGGAGCUGGAGAGGGUGCCGGUGCUGGAGAGGAUGCUGGAGCUGGGUUGGGAAGCCCUCUAUGAGCAGAGGGCGGAGUCACACAGCAGCUUCAAGGAGCUGGUGCAUUGCCCCACCUGGGGAGGCUGCCCUCUUCCCUAGCCCUCAAGGCCUUUGUUUCCCCACCUGUAAAAUGGGGCAUUGUAGCCUUCACAUGAAAUGGUACUUCUAAAGGCACCUGUGAGCUGGAGCUCUGCUCUGAUGGCUGUGGGAGAGAGGGGAUGAUUUUUCUAAACUGCCUCCAUCUUUCCCGGUGCCAUGGGAGGCAGACACUAAGUUCUGGGGUCUCCAGUUUUAGUGGGUGGCCACUGAUUGCUUCUCUCUGUCCAGAACAACGAGAACAAGAGCACACUGCAGUUGGAGCAGCAAGUAAAGGAGCUGAAGAAGUCGGGACUCCCCAGGAGCACCCAGGCUUGGGUGGAGAAGCUGUUGGUACAGGAGAGGCAGCAGGAGGAGCAGGAGAUGCUGCAUGCCAUUCUUUUUGGGCUGCCGAGAACAGGGAGAUAAACAUCACCAUCAUCUAAGAGCUGGUCAAGAAAUUAAAAAAAAAAAAAGUUAAGGGGUUAAUCUCCCACACAAUUCAUUUACUUCAUUUGAAAGUUAGAGCAACUUACAUUUAUUUGUGUUUCUAAUUUAUAGUUUAAAUUUAUUUGUUUCUAAUUUAUAGUUUAAAUUUAUUUGUGUUUCUAAUUUAUAGUUUAAAUUUAUUUGUAAAAAGUUAAAUGAGAGUGGGUCUUUCCCUCAUGUUCACUCUGGCAUCCUUUAGCAUUUUUUAAAAUUUGAUAAUUAUAGGACGUUAGCAUGCAUAUCAAGUUUGCCCUUAUGUGGUGGGAGUUCAAAAACCCAAAG